rnacentral:lncRNA from 1 species
GCUGUUUGUUAUCAAAAGAAACUUCUUCCUGUCAGGGUCCUGUAGUUGGGUGAUCCAAGAGUCCUCCCCAGACAAAGAUAAAGAGAGGAGGAUAAACACUAAGUCUUACUGAAAUAAAUACAAAACAUAAUAAGAUAAACAGAAAUACCAAAUAAUAAAUACAAACUGAUGGAGAAUAAACACAAACUGCCACAAGUUGCUCUCUGUCUCUUA